rnacentral:rRNA from 1 species
GGGACCUUCGGGCCUUGCGCUAUCAGAUGAGCCUAGGUCGGAUUAGCUAGUUGGUGGGGUAAUGGCUCACCAAGGCGACGAUCCGUAACUGGUCUGAGAGGAUGAUCAGUCACACUGGAACUGAGACACGGUCCAAACUCAUACGGGAGGCAGCAGUGGGGAAUAUUGGACAAUGGGCGAAAGCCUGAUCCAGCCAUGCCGCGUGUGUGAAGAAGGUCUUCGGAUUGUAAAGCACUUUAAGUUGGGAGGAAGGGCAGUAAGUUAAUACCUUGCUGUUUUGACGUUACCGACAGAAUAAGCACCGGCUAACUCUGUGCCAGCAGCCGCGGUAAUACAGAGGGUGCAAGCGUUAAUCGGAAUUACUGGGCGUAAAGCGCGCGUAGGUGGUUUGUUAAGUUGGAUGUGAAAGCCCCCGGGCUCAACCUGGGAACUGCAUCCAAAACUGGCAAGCUAGAGUACGGUAGAGGGUGGUGGAAUUUCCUGUGUAGCGG